GGGUGGGAGGAGCAGGGCGACCUCUGCCCCGGAAGAGGAUCUCGAAGUUGGCUCGGCGAAGGAGGAAGUUGAUGGUUGCUAGGCGGCCGGGAGUCGCGAGCUGGUCUGUCCCAGAGCUAGCGUCAGAAAUCGGUUUUUAAUUUUUUCUGUCUUGCGGCAAGACAUUUGUUUGCCUGACGCCCUUACUCCUAAUCCAAAGGUGACUGGAGGUAGGAGGGGUCAGAUUCAGAAGGCGCUCGCCGAAACUGUUAGCCCCAAGCCGCCGGCAUUCUGGGGAGACCCCUGUGCUCCGACUGUGGCCGGGCGACAGUCUUUGGGAGAGAAAACUCCCGGUUCUUCGGGUGGUAGGAGGGGUACCUAAUUUAAGGAACCGUAGAGAGGCUCUUGAAGGCGGCAGGUAGAGCCACAGCUGCUCAUGGGUGCUUCGGGAUUGCCAUUUUAGGACACGAGCGGUGAUUAGAACCUGGGACUAAAUCUAGAAGUGAAGAUAGGUCUGGGACUGACAAAAAUACAGUGAACGGCACUGUUUAACCUCCCUUUGAGAUCUAGUUUCAGGAGCAGUGUGGGCUGGAAGCCCGAGGAGAUGAGAAGGACCAGGUUCUGAGCCAGUUUCAGUUAAUCAGGUUGCACUCUGGCCUGGAACUUGAAACCCUUCAUGGCUUGGCCUCCAGAAUAGCUAACAUUGUCGGUAAGCUCCAUCACACCUGGUUUGAAACAUUUUUCAGUUUUGCUGUGUGUGUACAAAUGUGUAGAGGGGACACCCUCAGAUGGUCCUCAGCUUUCCUUUCCCUUACAUUCUUUUUCUACUUGUUUUCAUGAAUGUACAUGUGCACAAAUGUGGAGGUCAAAGAGCUUUUGUAGACUCGGCCUUUUCCUUUCAGUUUUAAGGAUCUGUGUUCUGGGAUUGUACCAAGGCAUCAGGAUCGUGUAGUAAGUGAUUUAAACUAAGCCACUCUCGGUCGGCCACAUCCAUCCAUCUUGCUUCCUCCCUUCCUUUCUUUUUGGCUUGGAAUUUGCCAAGUUUGCUGACUAACGCUGACUAACAAGAGCGGGUCAGGGGAUCCUCCUGCCUCGAAAGGCACAACCUUGGGCUCACACACGCCUGCCAGUACGUCUGGUAUUUCCUUUGUUGUUUUUUCAUGGGUACUAGAAAAUCAAAGCCAGGCCUUCGUUUUUGUAAGGCAAGGAAACACUUUACCACCUAAUGAGCCAACUGCGCAGUCCAAUGAUGUCAUGAAAGAAAAUACACGAUGUUAUUACAGAAGAAUUACCUCCACUCGGUCUGCAACCCACUCAAAGUUUUUCUUUACCAUCUGGAGUCCUUCUGGAGUUACUUCUUUGAGAUCACGGUAAGACUAGAAGAUAAAACAAAGUUUAAAAAAUUACUUUCUCCUGCUAUCUUAAAACAUGUUUCCUUCAAGUCAAGAUUAUGACGCGUAGUAUAAUGAGAUGCAUCUGAAAAUGCACCUUGACGUUCAAAUGCUUUUUCAAUGGGAAAGUACAAUAGCAAAGUAAGUAAGUUUCAUUUAAGGUCAAAUGCUUUAUUAGCAAAGUAACUGACUUAAGAACUAACAUGUAUACAUAUAGACAGGAUUUUGCCUUGAUUUUGUUAGAACUAAAGCCCCUUGUGGCCCUUAGCCUUGAUGUUGUGAGGCUACAACAUCAGAUAAACACAGCCACUUGCUCUUUUACUGUUUUAGAAUCUGAAGAUGGUAAAUACAAAGGAGAUUUUUGUUCACUUCUGCUUUUUUGGUCCUGAAGGAGGAAUCCAGGGCCUUGUAUGUGGUAAAGAAGUGCUUGCCAUUGGGUUGUAUCUCCAGCAGAGAAAUAAUUUGUUUUUUCAAAAAAGCCUUAUUUUUGCAUGUAUGCUGUAGCUGUCUUCAGACACAUCAGAAGAAGCCAUUACAGAUGGUUGUGAGCCACCUUGUGUUUGCUGGGAACUGAACUCAGGACCUCUGGAAGAGCAAGCAGUCAAGUGUUCUUAACCGCUGAGCCAUAUCUGCAGCCCAAGAAAUGACUUUUAAAGCUAUCAAUUAAGACUACUAUCCUAAGCCGGGCGUGGUGACGCACGCCUUUAAGCCCAGCACUUGGGAGGCAGAGGCAGGCGGAUUUCUGAGUUCGAGGCCAGCCUGGUCUAUAAAGUGAGUUCCAGGACAGCCAGGGCUAUACAAAGAAACACUGUCUUGAAAAACAAAAACAAACAACAAAAAGAGACUACUAUCCUCCCCCCUUCACCUCUAUCACAGCUUGAUAAAUAAGCUCGAAUACCACAUACCUGUUUGUCCUUCUGCUGGCUCCGAUCUCCCGAUGGCCAUAGUCUCCAGGAAUCAUUAUCAAUGACAUCAGCAAGAACAAUCUCUUUGGUGGU